rnacentral:ncRNA from 1 species
UCCGUCCGGGUCCGUGGUUGCGUCGUCAGGGUGCCCCGGUCCGCCCGGGUGCCAGGUCGGCAAGCCGAUGCCAGUCGCAGGCGAAACGGUCCACGUAAGUCGCCACCAGGGGGGUCCGCCCCGCUGGGGGGACGAUCACGGUGCGGCUUAGACGUAAGUCCUGCCUCGGCCCCGUCGCCAGAUGCGGCGGCGGUCGGGAGAAGGUCAGUAGUGGCAUUCAAGCUGCGAGAGCCUCAGCAGGCGAUUGUGGGGUCGAAGACCAGGUCGGCCGGACGGA